rnacentral:lncRNA from 1 species
GAAGCUGCGAAGAUGGCGGAGUAAGGCGUGCCGCUGCAAACUGGCCUCUGGGCCGGGGGCGAGCAGCCCCCGGGAGGCCGAGUGCAUCUGUUGGACCGUGCGAGGUGAGCCGAGAAGGAGAAGAAAAAAAAUAUCGGCCAGAGGAGAGGAACUAACCGAACAUUCUUCCUCCCUACCUUAUAGAGGGGAGUGGUCAUCUACACUAAAGCAAAGUGUUAGGCGCGUCCGUGCGAAGAGACCACCAAACAGGCUUUGUGUUCCUUAUCACAGGAAGAAAAUUUUCCUUGACCUUUAGGUGCUUUUAUAUUCAUCUCAAAAACAAAAUUCUGAACUCAGGACUUGGCAAGUGUCUCUAUGUUGUCUCCUAGAGUGGGUAGUCCUGCUUCUUUUACCCAGUUACUUUCCCGUUUUUGAAAUGUGGCUAUCACUUCUCUACACAUUACCUCCAUGAUUUGGAAUGGAAAAGGCCACUUUUCUUUUUGUUCUGCCUCUCAAAUUCAACACAGAGGAGCUCCUAGGAUUCCAGUUAUCCUGCUAACAUCUCCAGGAAGAAAGAAGCAACUCACAUGGGUCUUUUGCUGUUUGCUUAAUUAUAAAGACAUCAUUUUGCAAGCAGAAGGCUGAGUUUCAUUUGAAACAGGUGCUUAGGUGGUGGUAUUUGUGAAUACUUUUCAUUCCAAGCAAGAAGACUAAAGAAGUAGCAAGUAUGAAUGACUUCAGGGUUUAAAAAAAAUGUCUUCCAGUUUCAGCCACUACCAUGAUAAGCACAGUUGAGACUGCAGCAGUAAAUUCCAAAUAUGUGUUUCUAAUUUGACGUGAAAGAUACUAAAAAUUUAUAUUUGUAUAUUUAAAUCCUGGCUCAUCCUGUGACAUAGAUUUACUGAAUAGGAACAAAGGCCCAAUUUUAAACAAAAACCUAGGCCGGGUGUGGUGGCUCACACCUGUAAUCCCAACACUUUGGGAGGCCAAGGCAGGCAAAUCACCUGAGGUUGGGAGUUUGAGACCAGCCUGACCAACAUGGAGAAACCCCAUCUCUACUAAAAAUAGAAAAUUAGCCAGGUGUGGUGGUAGAUACGUGUAAUCCCAGCUACUCGUGAGGCUGAGGCAGGAGAAUUGCUUGAAUCCGGGAGGCGGAGGUUGCAGUGAACUGAGAUUGCACCACUGCACUCCAGCCUGGGCGACAGAGUGAGACUCCGUCUCAGAAAAAUAAAAAACAACUUUGGACAUAGAGGAGUUGGGGGCAGAGGGGGGAGGAUGAGAGAAUUUUCCAUGUAACUCCUUUUCCUUAAGAAAAAGAAGCAAAAAUCCCUCAUGCAGUGCCAUCUGACUUUAUGGUGUUUCACAUUAUAUAGUUACUUUUUUUAAUAAACGCAUAAGAUUAACUCUUCCUGCAACCCAAGGUGGAUACUUGGAUGUUUGAUUUUUAUUUAUUUAUUUAUUUAUUUUUUGAGGCAGUCUCUCUCUGUUGCCCAGGCUGGAGUGAUGCGUGAUUUCUGCUCACUGCAGUCUCUCCCACCCGGGUUCAAGCGAUUCUCCUGCCUCAGCCUCCCAAGUAGCUAGGAUUACAGGCGCGCACCACCACGCUCAGCCUGAUUUCUAGGCUGAAAAGGCUGGGACUCAGGUACUUUCCCCAGUUGGGACUGAACUUUCUCAUCAGAGAAUGGGCCUCAGAAGCAAUGUUCCCAAACUUGUGGUUGGGUCAUCGUGGAAAAGAAACCUCAAAUAAGAAAAAUAAUUACAAUAAGAAAUGGAUUUUCUUUUUUCCCACAACAGUUAUACAUUAUAAAGAACAGACUGUCGUAGAAAACUGUCUUUGCUUCCAAAUCAGCAGAGGACCAUUGUAUGUAUUGUCAGGUCUUUAUAUAAGAGUGAAACCUUUAUUUAUGCUUCUUGUGAGUAGAGAAUAAAUUUUAAAACUAAUUAGAUGA